UGGUAGCUCAGCUGGUAGAGCACGAGACUCUUAAUAUAAGGGACAUGAGUUCGAGUCCCAUUUUGGGCAAAA